ensembl:lncRNA
CCCCGUCACAUGACCUCUCUAUUUCCAAGUUGGUGGAAAUUUUAGCAAAAUAGUUCGGACUGAAAACGCUCAUGUGACCGGAAUUUACCCGUGUGCUAUAUUUAGCGUGGACUGACCCUACGUUCCCAUCGGCCAGCAACAGCGUGACGGGCGAGCGAGCGACACCCGAGUUGAAACUCUCUCAAUUGUAUGCAGAUUAGGGACGCCGGACCCGACGCACCUCGACGAUCGUCGGCCGAGUUCCUUUCUGGAGUUCCCCGCUCGCCACGUUCGGUCCUGACCUUACGCUAGCUUCGUCUCAUCCUGUCGAACACGACCUCUCGUUAAACGUUUACGCGACGUUACGGAGAAAGGUAGCGCUUUGGACGGAAGUAGCAGAGAUGGUCGGCGCCUCUGGUGAGACCCGUGUACGCGACCCGGUUCGCCCGGCGCGUUCCCGCAGUGCAUCUCGACGCCGACGGGUCGGUGUCUCUCCGUCAAAUAAACACACGGCAGACUCGUUCGAUUGCAAAUCUUUCUUUAAUCGGCCGCUUUGAGGCCUGACCGAGCGUUAGCCGGCGUUCACGCCACUGUUACUUUUCCCAACAACAAGGCAUUCCUAUGGCGUUUAGCUACAAAGUCUACAAAGUUCAGCACCAUGUUACAGGUUAUGCAUAUUAGAUUUUAGAAGCAUUUCAUCGACGAUGGUAAGAAAACGUCCGACACGUUAAGUACAACACUGACAUGACCGAGUCAGAAAAUUAAAAUGGAUGGACUCCUGGAAGUGUGUGUGUGUGUGUGUGUGUGUGUGUGUGUGUGUUUACAUUCAAUUUAAGCAACCUUUUUAAAUUUUUUUUUUUUUACUUGGUUUCCGAGAUCCUGGGAUUUCUUAUUUUCAUUUUUUUUUUUACAAUGUUUUCUGAGAUGACAAAAUGACCAAAACGUCGUUUCACCGCGACGAUGCAUCGAUUGCGGUCUAGACAAUGUUAAAUGUUUUCCUGAGAAAACGUCCUACACGUUCGUACUGAGACUUACCGCUACGACAAAUUUAACAUAAACGUACAUCUGGAUCGAUGCAGAGGUGCCGACGUUUAUGGCGUGGUCAUAGAAUUUGACCGUUUUUGACCCGUUGCUACGGCGAUCGACUAUUCUGCUUUUUCAGCUAAAGUUAAAGAGAAAUUCACCGAAGGGGAAAGGGCACGUGACGCGAAAAGACGCGUUUAACUGCUGUGCCGUCGACGUUAUCUCGGUGACCUCUGACCUGUGACGUCACGAGCCUCCGUCUCGUCAGCCAACAGAAACGAAAAGGCGGGACUCGCGGUGUCGGGGUCCGCCCCUCUCCGUUUUGUUUCUGUGGCUUGCCGCACAUCUGGAGGAAAAAAAGAAAAAAGAAAAAAAAAAAAAACGCACGUAAAAAUGGAAAAAUUAGCCUUUGUUAACAAUAAUUGGCACCUCGGAUCAAAUAAAACGUCAUAAAAACGUUAAUUUGCUUCGGAAAGUGGUAUUUUUAAGCUUAGUGUUUAUCCCUGGGGGGUACAAAUAUUUGAACAUUCAAAUUUCACAAAAUCAAAUAAAACUGUCCUUGUUAUGAUCUGGAAAUGGAGUAAACGCACGCACCCGAGAUAUUUAAGAUCUGUAAAAAAAAACACAUCAAAGACGACAGAUGCUACACGCCGCUGUACGUUUUCCACUCGUCUUCCUUCGUAUCCACAUCCAAUCAUCCAAUCACACGCUCUCCUCUCUCCUUCUCCACGCAAUCACCCGACACGACCCCCGCUUCACCCGCAACGUGCAAAACCCUCCACCGUCACGUCCCAACCGCGUGUUCAAACGUCCCUCCGUUUUCCCUUUGAACGCCCCGUUCACGUCGUCGCUCUUUCACCAGUCGCGCUGGACGUGUGAAAACGUUCGCACGUGCAAAUAAUCAAGACAUCGUUCCUGAAGACAGGAAUUCCAUUCCGCCGUCCCGCUAUAUAUCGGAACGACGUACAGCCGAGUAAAGCUCAGAGGAAAGGAACGGUCUCGCCGAAAAAAAAAAAAAAAAAAAAAAAACCUA